CAAGAACUAGGUCUGGUUGCUCUGAAGGCUUAAUAGCAGCCAAACUCAUCAAGGAACCUAGAUUUAUAUCAAAUUCCAUUUUGGGAAAGAGCUGCAAGAACAACCUCCCCUGAAGCCAUAACUGCUGCUCCAUGGAGGGGGAUACCACCUAACAUGGAGCUCUCUCUGCUGGCUCUAUCUGCGGAUGGAAAAGCACUUCACAGAGGGGAUAAGCUGUUACCUCCAUUUUAUAGAACAGGAGAACAGAGUCCACCAGAAGAGAAGCACUGUGCUCAAAGUCACCUCCAAAAAGGUGACACGCAUAUUUUCCAAUGUUCAUCUGUUUGUUGUGGCCAAAGUUCUCCACCUCCUUGUGCAGCCCCAGCUGCAGCAACUUUGGCCCAUAGGAUGAACUUGGAUGUGAGUUGUGCUUCUCCCAGGCAAGAGAUGCACAGGGUGCUGUGUGGGGUAACCUCUCCUAUAGGCCACUUGUAAGUCCUGGGGCAUCUGCAGCUCCACACCUGAUGGCUUAGCUGGGACAUGUCUAUGCUAUGUAACCAGAAGGUUAUGAAAUUGCUGAUUACCUCCUUGAGAACCAGCAGCUUCCCCAGGUCCGGAUGUGAACAAUGCUGUUACGUAAAGCACGGGCACUGGAAGUUUCCCCUUCUCCAGUGUCAGAUGCUGUUGGAUCUCUGCUGGCCGGGAGCAGCAACUCGGGGCAGUGCUGCAUUGCAACAAGAAGCUCAACUGCUCACCAGGAACCUCAGCACUGCCACGUUGAGAGGCAAGAAGCAACAUGCAGCAUCCUGCAGGUAACCUCCCUGCUUGGGGCUUGCAGCCCUCCACGCGUGCUUUAGGCUUUAGCUGCUUGUGUUUGCAAAUGGGUGACUAAGAUGGUCCAUGGGCAUUUUCUGGUUUCUCCAGCAGAGAGCAGGGAGAGAUUUUCACCUAACAGGCAACUCUGGCAUGAGUGACACGUGACAGCCAGGGUGAUGGUUGGGCUGAGCAUACAAAAGGGCUUUGGUGUCUUGAGUGAGAAGAAGGGCUCAGGAGUCUGGGUGGGUUCCUCCAGGAGAGGAGGUAUGCCAGGAAGGGACGCCAUGGGAUGUGUCAGACCUGGGUCCUGGGCUGUCUCCCAGGCUCUGUGUCUUAGCAGAAAGGAACAGAGAAGGGAAGGGAAUGUGUGGGGACAACUGUUUAGAGCUGAACAGAGGAGGAGGAGCUGCUUGAACCUGAAGUGGGGGGAAAAGGGCUGAACUGAGAGAAAGGAGUGAGGAAAUAGGAGAAUUGUGAAUGGAAGAACAGACAUUGCUGUACCAAGAGGAAAUCUGGCUGUAAUUUUGGAUGGAUUGGGAUGCUUGUUUUAUACUAGUAUGUUUUCUGCCACCUUAGCCUUUGUUCUAGCUCUGGUAGCUGAGUAUGCUGGGCAUGGCACAUGCAGUGAGAUAUUUGCUGACUCUUUUGGCCAUUUUCUAAAACCAACAACUGCUCAUGGGGACUUGGGCUGCUCUGAACACGAACUUUGUUCUCUCACAGCCAGAUCUGAACACGAACUUUGUUCUCUCACAGCCAGAUCUGAAGCCCAUUGAAGCUGUCAAAAAGCUCCCUUAGACUGCCUCAGGCUUUGGAAUCAGCUGUUAGUGUGUAUGGCUUCCCACUGCCACACAGCAUCCUUUGUAAUGUACAAAAAUAAAGGUAUACUUUGCACAUCCUCUGCCA
rnacentral:lncRNA from 1 species